CUAUGAUGUGUCACAAGAUUCCCCCCACAGUGGCAUUCAUCGAGUAUUCUUGUCGAAGUGCAAGGUUAGUUUCGUCCACUCACAAUCCAUCAUUUAAACGAGAAACUCGUGGUAACGUACCUCGUUGCGGAUAAGGUGUUGAUGGUAACGGGGCCCGUUUAGUAUCAGCGGUGAACCGACGGGUACAUUGGAAAGGAGUAAAUCACAAUCUGAGACUCAAAAUACGACGAUCUAAUUACGAAACUACCCGUCGACGGCCGGACCGGCUCCUUUCCCUCCCUCCCUCGCUCCCUCCCUCGUACGCUACCCCGAGAGCGAAGUGGACGACUUCGCGAAGACCUACCUCCAUCUCUCCUCUCGUCUUCCACAUGCGGAGGUGCCGAUCGGGUUGAUAGCGUGUUCGUAGCACUUACGAUAGCGAGAGGAGGUGAUUCGGUGAGGCAUGAAGACGGAUCGGACGGACAACAGCUUGAGGCCCAGCAGCAGCGGCGGGACCCGAGGCAGCGGAAGCCUCCCCCCCGGGUUCGAUACGGCCGCCUCCAAUCUUCCCGUCCUCGGCCCACGUGGCGAUGCCGGCGCCCCCCUCCCGCUCAAGGCUAUGCAGAACUCAGGAGACAUUCUAAAACUCAAACAGGAGAUUGAGCCAGAAUUGUUUCUGGAUGAUGAAAGUUGGGGCCUUAGUGAUGCUAAUGUAUGAUCUCCUACUUCUACAUGUCAAAGUGCAUUACUAAGCGUCAGAGUCAACCUAAUUUCAAAAUCAAAUGGUUGUGACUACCACACCAGAAUCACAAGAACCAUCAUGAGUGAUGUGGAAUUCUAGGCUUUCUUUCAUAAUUAAGGCAUGUUUACCCCUC